UGCUUGACUCAAAGAUUAAGCCAUGCAUGUCUAAGUAUAAGCAAUUUAUACUGCGAAACUGCGGAUGGCUCAUUAUAUCAGUACCAAUCCAUUUGACGAGAAUUUCUACUUGGAUAACUGUAGUAAUUCUAGAGCUAAUACAUGCAAAGAGUGUGGACUGGGCUGUGCCCCUGCAAGGGGGUGUGGUUUGGGAAGCAUGUGUUUAUUGGACUCAGAACCGAUGUAGGGCAAUCCAAACUCUGUUUCCCGCCACUGGUCUCUGCCACCCUACAAGGGGUGGUGGUGUUGGUGGGCUGGGGGCUGAGGCUCUACUCUUAUGGUGAUUCACAGUAACUCUGCACGAAUUGGGGGCUUUCGUCUUCGAUGGUGCAAACGAGGUUCUGCCCUAUCAACUUUCGAAGGUAGUGUAGGGGACUACCUUGGUUGUAACGGGUCACGGGGAAUUAGGGUUCGAUUCCGGAGAGGGAGCCUGAGAAACGGCUACCACUUCCAAGGAAGGCAGCAGGCGCGCAAAUUACCCAAUCCCGAUACGGGGAGGUAGUGACAAGAAAUAUCGAUGUAGGACCCUUUUGGGUACUACGAUCGAAAUGAGAACAAUUUAAAAUCCUUAUCGAGGAACCAUUGGAGGGCAAGUCUGGUGCCAGCAGCCGCGGUAAUUCCAGCUCCAAUAGUGUAUAUUAGAGUUGUUGCGGUUAAAAAGCUCGUAGUUGAACUCUGGGCUUGGGAAGUUGUCCUCCGUUCCCUUUGGUUCCGGGUGGCGGGUGUCUUGUGCCUGUUUCUGCCCACCACGGGUGGGGGCAGGUGCGCGGGUGCCACGGUUGUCCGGGGCUAUCUGGGGGGGCGGGCAAAAGGGCUUCUUCUCUAACCGUUCACACAAGGCGUUCGUCACAAUUAUGGUCCCUCGGUUGGGCCUGCUCCGGCCGGUGGAUCGUGUCGUUCACUUUACUUUGAAGAAAUUCGAGUGUUUAAAGCAGGCAAUAUUUGUAUCCGAAGACAUUAGCAUGGGAUAAUGAAAGAAGACUCAUCCUUACCUUCAUUGGUUCUUAAGGAGUGGGUAAUGAUUAAUAGGGACAGUCGGGGUCGGUGGUACUGAGUGGCUAGAGGUGAAAUUCUAUGACCCACUCAAGACCGACAACUGCGAAAGCAUUCGACAAGGAUGUUUUCAUUGAUCAAGAACGAAAGUUGAGGGAUCGAAGAUGAUCAGAUACCGUCGUAGUCUCAACUGUAAACGAUGUCGACUCGGGAUUGGAGGGCGUUACAUGGAUGACCCCUCCAGCACCGUGUGAGAAAUCAUAAGUAACCAGACUCCGGGGGGAGUAUGGUCGCAAGGCUGAAACUUAAAGGAAUUGACGGAAGGGCACCACCAGGAGUGGAGUCUGCGGCUUAAUUUGACUCAACACGGGGAAACUUACCAAGUCCGAACACGACGAGGAUUGACAGAUUAAUAGCUCUUUCUUGAUUUUGUGGAGAGUGGUGCAUGGCCGUUUUUAGUUGGUGGAGUGAUCUGUCUGGUUAAUUCCGUUAACGAACGAGACCUUAACCUGCUAAAUAGGGGCGCAAACGCGGGAGUUCGGGGAGGGGAUCUGCAAGGGUCUCUGACACGGCUUCCACAACACACACACACGUGCACGGGUGCACUUUUUGGGUAUCCCGUGUGUCGUGUCGUGGUUUUGAUGGCCCUCUUCUUAGAGGGACCAUUCACUCAUCAAGUGAACGGAAGUUUAAGGCAAAAACAGGUCUGUGAUGCCCUCAGAUGUUUUGGGCUGCACGCGCAUUACACUGUUAUGUGCAACGAGUCACAAAAGACCCGAACCCUAAUGGGUGGGGUAAGCUUUGAAAACAUAACGUGAUGGGGAUUGUGUUUUGCAAUUAUCACACAUGAACGAGGAAUUCCUAGUAAGCGUAAGUCAUCAACUUACGUUGAUUACGUCCCUGCCCUUUGUACACACCGCCCGUCGCUCCUACCGAUUGAACGGCCCGAUGAGAACUCGGGAUGGAUGGAUGUGGGUUCAACCCGUUCAAAUCUUGUCGUUUAGAGGAAGG
rnacentral:rRNA from 1 species